GUGGACUGGGAGAGGCAGACACAACCUCAAUCUCUGUGGGCACCAUUUAAUCAGCUGUCAGUGUGACUAGAAUAAAGCAGGCAGAAGAAUGUGGAAGGCACCAGACUAGCUGAGUCUUCUGGUCUUCAUCUUUCUCCUGUGCUGGAUGCUUCCUGCCCUUGAACAUCAGACUCCAAGUUCUUCAGCUUUUGGACUCUUGGACUUAACACCAGUGGUUUGCCAGGGGCACUUGGGCCUUUGGCCACAGACUGAAGGCUGCACUGUCAGCUUCUCUACUUUUGAGGUUUUGGGACUUGGACUGGCUUCCUUGCUCCUCAGCUUGCAGAUGGCCUAUUGUGGGACUUCAUCUUGUGACUGUGUGAGUCAAUACUCCUUAAUAAACUCCCUUUCAUAUAUGCAUCUAUCCUAUUAGUUCUGUCUCUCUAGAGAACUCUGACAGGUUGGAGUUCUUUCAAAGCUACACUCAGUAAACUGUAAUUAUUUGACCUGUCUGAUGGUUACCUAAAAUACCCCAUUUGCAAGGCUGUUUUUAUUUGAACUGAUAUUGAGCUCACCUGUGCAAAAGCCUUUUCCCUGGAGACAUCUGCUGAACUCAAUUAGAGGGUUCACAUGCACCAAGGGAAAGCCAUGUUAAGACAGAAUGAGAUGGCAGCCAUCUGCAAGCCAAGAAGAAAGCCCUUGCCAGAGACUGAAUCUGCCAGAACCUUGAUCUUGGACUUUCAACCCCUGGAUUUGUGGGAAAAUAAACUUCUGUUGUUUAAGCCAAAAAAAAAAAAAAAAGAAAGAAAACUUUAAUUAGGAUUAAUUAAUACAAAUAUGAAGAAAAGCAGAGAAGAAAAGCUAAGCCCAUUGGAAGUUUCCAUGCAAUUCUCAAGGCCACACGUAGAAAACAGGAUGAAUAGUAACUGAAAGAGUAGGCAAGAAUGAAAGACCCUUAAUAACUUCUGGCUCCCCAUCCUGCCUCAUUCCAGACAACUGAGUCAGCUUAUAUCCAUCUGCAGACAAGGCCAAGCCAUGCCCAUAUAUUCUAAGACUGGGUCUGGUUCUGGGCAAGAGAUGUACCUCAAAAGUUGCUGCAGUAGAGAGCAAUUAGCUGAAGCUGCCUUGUUGCUGGCACCUGCUUCCAAGUCUCUCUGUCUCAGUUCUUUAACUAGGAAAAAGGUAAUGAUAAUCCCCGUCUCAUUAGUAUUGUAAACUUUAAAUGAGCUGAUCCAUGUAAAGAGCUUAGAAUUGUGUGAGGCACAUAGCAAGUGCUUAUUAAAUAAUCACUCUUGUCAUCAUCUUCCUCGUUGUAUAGAUUAAGGAACAGACACUAAGAAGUUGCUUUUCGCAGGCCACUUGCCUGUGGCAGCACAAGGCAAAGAUCCUGUAUCAAAAUUCUGAAUGAAUGUUCUUUAUAACUUACAAUGUAUAGUAGGUAAUUUCAUAAGGUCCCACAUACACUUAAAUAUUUCUCCCUACAACUGCAUCACAGUGACUGAGAUCUACCUUUUUCAAUAAUCCUUUUUAAGAGUUUUCUAGCGAUAACUUUGCUAAUGAAGUUUGCUUCUCAAGAGAAGGAAUGCAUUAGAGAACUAGUAGAAGCAGAAAUGGGCUUCCUGUGAUGACUAAACCAUAAUCACACAUCACCACUCUAAAUAAAGUACAGGGUUUGAAUGAACAGAACAGAGCAAGGUACAAAUCUGAAGCAGAAGGAAAAGGGAUGGGCUUAGUGUAGGCAUUGGCCAGAGGUUGGGGACAGGCAGCUGGGAUAGAAGGGCAAAAGCUUUCCAAAAGAGUUCAGAGGAACUCAUUCACAAACACCAUGCUCUUAGUGUGGGGUUUCAUCCAUGAAACUGAGCCUGUAACUUAGAUCUGAUCAUUCAUUAUUUUCUGGAAGCAUAAGAGAAACCCACACCCAGAACUCAGUAAUGUGUAUAUGUUGCUGAGAUGAUUUCUAAGCCAAAUCAGUCUCCUUCAGCUCCA
rnacentral:lncRNA from 1 species